CGGGUGAGUAAUGUCUGGGAAACUGCCUGAUGGAGGGGGAUAACUACUGGAAACGGUAGCUAAUACCGCAUAACGUCGCAAGACCAGAGAGGGGGACCUUCGGGCCUCUUGCCAUCGGAUGUGCCCAGAUGGGAUUAGCUAGUAGGUGGGGUAACGGCUCACCUAGGCGACGAUCCCUAGCUGGUCUGAGAGGAUGACCAGCCACACUGGAACUGAGACACGGUCCAG
rnacentral:rRNA from 1 species